UUUUUGAUAAUAAUUUAAAGUCUAAUCUGCCCACUGAUAAUAUAUUAAAGGGCUGCAGUAUAUUGACUGUACAAAGGUAGCAUAAUCAUUAGUCUUUUAAUUGAAGACUUGUAUGAAAGAUUUGAUGAAAUAUAAACUGUCUCUAAUUUAUGUUUAGAAAUUAAUUUUUUAGUUAAAAAGCUAAAAUAAUAUUAAAAGACGAGAAGACCCUAUAGAGUUUUAUAUUUUAUUUAAUUAAUAUUAAAUAUAUAAUUAAAUAUAUUAAUUAAAUAAAAUAUUGUGUUGGGGUGAUAGAAAAAUUUAAUAAACUUUUUUUAAAAUUAAACAUAAAUAAGUGAUUAGUUGAUCCAUUAAUAAUGAUUAAAAGAAAAAAUUACCUUAGGGAUAACAGCGUAAUAUUUUUUUUUAGUACAUAUAAAAAAAAAAGUUUGCGACCUCGAUGUUGGAUUAAGAUAAAAUUUAAAUGCAAAAGUUUAAAAUUUUGAUCUGUUCGAUCAUUAAAAUCUUACAUGAUCUGAGC
rnacentral:rRNA from 1 species